GACGAACGCUGGCGGCGUGCUUAACACAUGCAAGUCGAACGAUGAACCGGGUGCUUGCACCUGGGGAUUAGUGGCGAACGGGUGAGUAACACGUGAGUAACCUGCCCUGGACUCUGGGAUAACCCCGAGAAAUCGGAGCUAAUACCGGAUAGGACCUUUCCUCGCUUGAGGUUUGGUGGAAAGUUUUUCGGUCUGGGAUGGACUCGCGGCCUAUCAGCUUGUUGGUGAGGUAAUGGCUCACCAAGGCGUCGACGGGUAGCCGGCCUGAGAGGGUGACCGGCCACACUGGGACUGAGACACGGCCCAGACUCCUACGGGAGGCAGCAGUGGGGAAUAUUGCACAAUGGGCGCAAGCCUGAUGCAGCAACGCCGCGUGCGGGAUGACGGCCUUCGGGUUGUAAACCGCUUUUAGUAGGGAAGAAGGGCUUCGGCUUGACGGUACCUGCAGAAAAAGGACCGGCUAACUACGUGCCAGCCGCCGCCGUAACAC
rnacentral:rRNA from 1 species